UCCCUGGUGGUCCAGUGGUUAGGACUCAGUGCUUACACUGCUGUGGGCCUGGGUUUGAACCCUGGUCAGGGAA